CAUUUAUUUAAAUUUAUCAAAAUAAAAAAAAAGUAUUCAACAAAGCGCCCAGUGUAUUUUUCUAGUAAAACUAAAAAAAAUAUAUUGAAAAAAUCGAAAUGCAAUAAAUAGGUAAACAAAAAUAACAAAAAUUAAUGUUUGUUCAUUUAACUACAACAACAACUAACAACCAACGGCAGCUGACAGCUGCUUAUGCAUUUUCAUCAGAAUACAAAUACGAAUAUAAAUAUAUUUUUUAAAAACGUAAACUAACAAUAAAUAUUAAAAAAAAACAAAAAAACAAAAAAUAAUAAGAAACAUUAAAUUUGAACGGCAUUUUUUACAUACGUUUCGAGACGGGGCUUGCCCCCAAAAAUAAUAAUAAUAAAUUAUAUAUAAAUCGAAGCAAGUUGACCACCCAUAACAACAACAACAACAAAUGAUUGUUUCUUUAUUAACUUCGAAGACAAGGAAUUUCAGUGCCUCUUGUGCCAGUGUUUAGCCAAAAUAUAUAUACACAAAA